CCGGACGGCGACCGGCGCACGGGUGAGUAACACGUAUGCGACCUGCCCGUAGCAGGGGGAUAAGCGGAAGAAAUUCCGUCUAAUACCGCGUAAUAUCUUUCGGGGGCAUUCCUGAGGGAUUAAAGGAAGCGAUUCCGGCUACGGAUGGGCAUGCGGCGCAUUAGCUAGUCGGCGGGGUAACGGCCCACCGAGGCGACGAUGCGUAGGGGUUCUGAGAGGAAGGCCCCCCACACUGGGACUGAGACACGGCCCAGACUCCUACGGGAGGCAGCAG
rnacentral:rRNA from 1 species